ACAUGCCUACAACAUAGCGUUAAUGCACCGGAUCCCAUUAGAACUCCGCAGUUAAGCGUGCUCAGGCUAGAGUAGCACUGGGAUGGGUGACCRCCCAGAAAGUCCUAGUCUUUUACAUGCC
rnacentral:rRNA from 1 species